rnacentral:rRNA from 1 species
GUACUCGAGCGGCGAACGGGUGAGUAACACGUGAGCAACCUGCCCCAAGCUUUGGGAUAACCCUCGGAAACGGGGGCUAAUACCGAAUAUUACUGCUGGCCGCAUGGCUGGUGGUGGAAAGUUUUUCGGCUUGGGAUGGGCUCGCGGCCUAUCAGCUUGUUGGUGGGGUGAUGGCCUACCAAGGCGACGACGGGUAGCCGGCCUGAGAGGGCGACCGGCCACACUGGGACUGAGACACGGCCCAGACUCCUACGGGAGGCAGCAGUGGGGAAUAUUGCACAAUGGGCGGAAGCCUGAUGCAGCGACGCCGCGUGAGGGAUGACGGCCUUCGGGUUGUAAACCUCUUUCAGCAGGGACGAAGCGAGAGUGACGGUACCUGCAGAAGAAGCACCGGCCAACUACGUGCCAGCAGCCGCGGUAAGACGUAGGGUGCGAGCGUUGUCCGGAUUUAUUGGGCGUAAAGAGCUCGUAGGCGGCUUGUCGCGUCGACCGUGAAAACUUGGGGCUCAACCCCAAGCCUGCGGUCGAUACGGGCAGGCUAGAGUUCGGUAGGGGAGACUGGAAUUCCUGGUGUAGCGGUGAAAUGCGCAGAUAUCAGGAGGAACACCGGUGGCGAAGGCGGGUCUCUGGGCCGAUACUGACGCUGAGGAGCGAAAGCGUGGGGAGCGAACAGGAUUAGAUACCCUGGUAGUCCACGCUGUA